rnacentral:ribozyme from 1 species
GGAACGAAUGAAAGGAAUGAAAAGAGCAAAGGAAAAGAAUGCGUGCUUCCUUUCUCUUCGUUCAUUUCAUUACCAUUCAUUUUCCUUUGAUCUUUUAUUCGUUUCAUUCUCCUUACCGCCACUCCAGUCAUUCCUGGGUUGGUUUGUGUUGUGUUCAUUUGGUUUAAUUCAACGCAAUGGACGAAGGAAGCGCGGUUGAAUUAAAACAAAGAACACAACCAUCUCGUGGGUCUUUCGUCUGUGUUGUUAUUAAAUGAAAGAAACACGCGCUCUUUCUUUUCAUUUAAUUC